rnacentral:tRNA from 1 species
GCGGUAUAGCUCAGUUGGUUAGAGCAACGGAAUCAUAAUCCGUAGGUCGUUGGUUCAAGUCCGACUGCCG